rnacentral:rRNA from 1 species
GUCCACGCCGUAAAACGAUGUCGGCUCGGUGCGCGGGGGGGAUCACUCCCUGCGUGCCUCAGUUCACGCGGUAAGCCGACCGCCUGGGGACUACGGCCGCAAGGCUAAAACUCAAAGGAAUUGACGGGGGCCCGCACAAGCAGCGGAGCGUGUGGUUUAAUUCGACGCAACGCGAAGCACCUCACCCAGGUUGGACAUGGGGCUGCAGGCCGGUCAAAGCCGGCGGCCUUCGAGGGUGCCCCACAGGUGCUGCAUGGCUGUCGU